rfam:Oryza sativa (indica cultivar-group) chromosome 10, whole genome shotgun sequence.
AUCCCAUGAUGAGGACAGGCGGCCACAUACUCUUGCAGACGCUUCCAUGCUCCCGGAAUAGACUCAUCCCUUGUCUGCUGGAAACUUGAAAUCCUUCCAUGAAGGGC